GUCUGUUGGUGUUACACAGAGCAGAAGUUACGGGAAGGAUAAACAAGCACUGACAUUGCUGUCAUGACCUUACCAGAAAAGCUGAGUGGACAGAAAGGUUCAAUUCCUAGGGGCUGCCCAGGGGAAACUGCCCAAUUAACUUGCUUGCCAAAGGUGCAGAGUAUGCAAAUCCUUUCUAUGGAUAGGGCGUGGUUGUAGAAUGCCCGAAAGCUGGAAGAGCAGUCUUUGAGCAUGAGACCGGAGUGACAAAAUACCUGUUGGCCAGAGCAGCAGGUUUGCACGGAGAGGGCCCUGUUUUCCAUUAACAAAUGUAAAGCAGCUUUGAAUUCUGCAAGUCAAAUUGUGCAUUCAGGAGGGCAAAGGCAGAGGACGGGAAGGGCAAGCCAUUGCGCAGUAAAAAACCAACACCUGCUUCUACUGGUGAUCCCACCUACCCACAUCUGAUCAGUACAUGAAUGUAUGGAAUGGCAUUAAAGCCCCCAAACCAAUAAUGAUCCCGUGAGUUAUCACACUGGAGCAUAUAUGCUUGGCUGACUCUUCCCCCCUUGUGGAUUGCCUUAGUUCUGCUGAUGCCAGCGUGGCCCUUUAUUAGGGAUUCACCUUGGUGCCACGAGUCUGCUGCAGUGGAGUGUCACCAGCACUGCGUGUCUGUUUGAAAUGAAUGUCUUGUGAUUAUAGCUAUAAUCACGUGUCAGACUUCUAUGUGGUGUGUGUUUGUGCAUGCGUGUUCGAGGGAUAUUUGCCCUUUUAAUGGCUGUAGUGCAUGCUGUGCACAAGGCAUUCUUUUCCUGCCGUGAUGAAGAAAACCGUUAUUGGGGGGUGUGUGUGUGAGAUUUUUAAUGUGCAAAGGAAAAAAGUAGCAAACCUGCUGGCUGCUGUUUAUCCAGGGAAGCUUUGCUCCAUUCGGGCAUCAGUGGUAUUCUCAGAGCCCCUGAAGAUAAAAAUCCAUAGAAACUGGGGGUGAUUUAGAUGCUUUCGAUACCUAACUAUGAAUGGCAACCUGGGAAUCUCUUUCCCAUUUGUAGGCAUGUACUUUUUAGUCACUCGGCCACGGAGGAGUCCUGCUUAUUGAAUUUGUGUCCUCAUUGAUACUCUUCAAAUCGAGAAAAUUAAUGCUUAAAGCUGUUUACUAUCUCCACUAGCUUGCUAGUAUGAAUCAUGCCUGUGAAACAAUAAUUUUUACUGAUUUUGAGGAAAAAAACACGGCAGUGGCUGACUUACAAAUAAAAGGUGAAUUCAAACCAUCAGAUAACUGUGAGGAGUAAAUGAUAGAAGCAAUGAUGUUUUGUUUUGAGGAGUGAGAUUUGAAUUUCUGAAAGGGAUUUGAAAAUGUGCAGAAUGGUUGUUAGGUUUGAUUUGAUGAAUGUAUCUCAGUAGAAGAGAUUGGAAAAGAGAAUUGCAAUAGUAGCAUGUUCUGUGCAAAACCUUGGCAUUGAUACAGACAUGGGGAUGAACACCUGAAUAUUUCAUGUCUGAGAAGGCAAACCUAAUAAUCUGUUGUUGCUUUUUUUUUUCUCUUCUAUCUAUCAAAAACCUGCGCAUCCAUUUUUAUUGGUGAUUUGCUUUGUAUAUACCCUUUGCCAACUGGAUUGUAUUACAGCUAAGCUGUGGUACCUAGAGCACAGAUCAAUAUUUCACUUUAAGUGUCUGCCACAAGAGAGCAGUGUUGGUGUAAUAAGCUAGGAGAGGAUGCCUCUGGUAGCUUAAUUCUUCCAUCAAAAUAUACACUGAAAUACUGUAAGAGAAAUUAAAAUACAGCACAGGAACUCUUCUGGGAUCUUAGCAGGAUUAAGGGAUAAAAAUAGUAAAUGGUGCCUAAUUUCAGUUAUUGGGUUUCAAGUUUCUUCGAGACAUAAUUGAUAUGACCGUGGAACCUUUGCAAAAUUUCAAGGAGUUUAUAUAAAUUUCAUCACGCUACUGAUAAAGGUGCUUGUCCCCAUACUGGCUGCUGUAAGUCUAUUGAAAUCAGCACCAUUGCACUGGUCCGCCUGAGAGUAUAAUCUGGAGAUGCAUGUGCAUUUGUGUAUGGUACAGCCAGUCCGUCAGGUCUGCAGGAACCAGCUUCACUGAGGCUCCUCCAGGCUCUUCUGAGCUGGGUCUAAACGCUGUGGAGUUGCAGGCUGGAGUUCUCUGGGGAUAAGGUGUAUGUGGACUGAGCUCAUCAGCACCCAGAGUUUGCUUCAUUUUUAACCAUGUAACUCAACCUGCUGAGUUGCAUGCUGUCAGAGGAGCUCCAAACUACUGCUCCGCUGCAGAUGCCCAGAUCCCAAUUAUACCAGACAAUUAGAACUGUCCUAGUAGAGUCACUGCUCCCUAGUCUUUCCUGGCCGGACACCAGGGUUACAGCAGUACUUGAAAGAUAUUACUGCCAAUUUCUGCUCCCCCAAAAUUUUUAAACUUUUAUUCGGAGAAAUUAGAAUGGAUUAGCUUGGAAGUAAUUAACCUUAACUUGUGUGCGCUUUCUUAAUGAAAAUCUGUUUCAAUCUUACAAAAAAACCCUACACUCAGAUCUUGAUCAAAAUGACUCCUUGUCACUGAAAUGUAUUAAAAAUCUCUUAUCAACAAAAUCUGAUGCUAAAUUUUUUAAAGCAUGUGCCUGAUAGUUCCUGACUUGCAAGCCUGGACUCUUGAUUUUAAAACUGCCACUUCGCUUGGUGCAGUCAAUGAUCUGUUUCCACGCGACAGAAAACUUGCUAUCUAAAAUGACAAGGCAAGUAUGUGUCAAAAUGAGAUCCAACAGAAGCCAGGCUUAGGCCUAAGAAAGCAGCGUGGAUUGCUUUGAAGACGAGAUGUGUUUAAAGGAGGAAUGGAUGUAAAUGGAGAGAAGUUGCUAGGAAAAAUAAAAAAAGGAUGAAAAACGAUCCAGUCAUGGAGCAAUGUUUUAAGCUUGAAAGAAGUGGAAGAGAUAUAGUAGACUGUGUUAUCUCCUGGUACAACAAAAUGCUGAAGUUGGCAGAAAUAGACCAGCAGAUAAUUUGAUCCAUUUGGAGCAGACCAAGAAAAAGCAGUUGGGUGAGAGAAGAGAAAAUGAUGGGAGAGCAUGGCUGUACUAUGUCAGGGUGUAGUGGACUAGACAGGUCGCUGGCCUGUCUCCAAAUACCUGCUACCGGCUGCUUAGGACGGGGUAGCAGCAAUGCGAUGUGACAAGUUUGAUUACUCUCCUCCUGCUUUACCUUCAGUUUACCUGAGUUUUUAGAAGACAAAUAGGGAGAAGGGGACACAGCAUGCAGUAUCUUGUAGGUGAGAAUGAGCUCUGGGAUAGUGUGUAUCUGAACUGAUUAGCCAAAUUAAUGCACUUGCUAGAGUAGCCAAAACCGAGCUUUGUUUUCACUAAAAAUAGUCGUCUUAUCUAAAUAUGCCAUGUAUCUACUAUGCCUUCCACUUCCGAAAUCUUAUUGCAGCUGCAGUGUCCUGCAUCCUAAAUUUAGAACCAUUCAUCCUACUGAAUUUUCCAGUACAGUAGAUGGAUGCAGCAGCUUUUUUAGAAACUAAAAAUUAGAAAAUGGUGAGAAUAAAAUAAUGCAGAGCCACCAGACUGAAAUACCUGUGCUUAAUCUUUGGUAGCUAUUACUGUCUUUAGUUCAGUUCUUAUUUUACAGUAAUGAUUAUACAAAAUACAUAGGGAUUUUACAGUGUCUGGAUUAUCAGUGAUGGUUCUGCUUUUUUCUAGCAUACUGACAAGUGUCCUCGACACCCGUUUUUUAAAACAGUGUAUUUGACUGUAGUCUGUGGGUCACGCAGAACAUGAACUGUACUGGCUGCUUAUUGCUGUAAGUGAAGUUUGAAUGUGAAAUAGAUGCCUAAUAUGCAGCAAGAUGAGAGCAAGGGUUUCCAGAGCUUUAUAGAUCUGUGGCUUUUCAUAAACCUGCACAAAUAGAGACUGUUUGGGAUUUGGUUGGCUUUGGUUUUUUUACAGGUACAUGCAGAAACAAGGUCACAGAAUCUUUUCUUCUACUCAUGUAGUUUUCAGCACAACAGCUCCUAUAGUAUCUAAUAGCCAAUAUAUUUUUAUACUUUAGGACUUCCUAGAAUACCUUUGACUAAGUCCAGGUUUAAUAAAAUAGCAUACACUUUUAAUUUUGUUUCGGUUAUUAAAUGGUUGCAAACUCCUCCCUUUGUAUUCCAUCUAAUCAAAAUUUCUUUAAGAGAUUAAACAAACCUAUUGACAGAGUAGAUGAGUAAGCCUUUAUGUUUAGAUUAAGCCUCUAUGUUUAGAUUAGUUAGAAGGGUGCUCACUGGCUAAUGAACUGAGCAGAGUCCUUGAUACAUCCUGAAUUGCUGUUAGAUCCAGUAAAAUGCAUACGAACUGUUGAGUUUGUCCUAAUGUUUUGCCGGUUCUUUCCUGAUUAUCACCUUAAACAUUUGGUAGUGUUACGUAUGAGUGUAAAGUAUGAGUUUAUAGAAGAAAUUUGCUUUUUCAUAUCCGGCUAAGGAGGCAAAGAGCUCGAGGGACUUGUAGAUUAACAGUAAAGCUACCAAUUUCCCAUAAUCUUUACAGCUGUUUCCCUCUUGGAAACUCUAUAAACUCUGGAUAGUGAGAAUCAAGUUCUUAAGCUGAUUCCUAAGGUGACUUAGGACAUAAAAAUCCUAUGAAUGGUACAGGGGAAAGAAAAAAGGUAUUUUCUGACAGUUUGAACAUCAAAAUGCAGCCCCUCGUGGUGGCCAAGCCAAAGGAGCCUUUAGACUUGGCUAUGUGGAGUGAGCAGUGCUCAAAGUGGAUUUCAUGCUCACCCGUCCUCCUUUGUGUCGCUGAAAAGGGAGGCUCCUGCCCGAUGCGGGGCAGCGGGACUUGGAUGCCGUUCCCAAAGUGAGCUGGCUGUGAGACUGCUGCUCUCCCCGUGCUGCCUGCUCUCAGGCAGAGACAAUUUUGUUGUCAUUUGCAAUUUCAGCGCUUUUCAGAGAGCUGCAAAUCCCUUGUAGAAAAGUCAUUGUCAUAAAAGUAAUUUUUGCAGGGAACGGUUGUACGAGCUCGCAGGUGGGUUGCUGUUUUAGUCAGCUGGGAUUGUGUGGGGCUCCUGCAACAGCUGGUUUGUGUGUGAAGUCUUUUUAAAAUUCAGAUUUGAUAUAAUUUUUUAAAUAUUUCUUCUUUCUUAUUGUUCCAUUAGGAUAAGAAGAAAUAGAGGGAGAGCUGGACUGAGCAUCUUCCCUAGGAAGUAAUGAAUUUUGCAUUUUAAGCCAAGCUGUUCUCCUCAGAACUGGAUUUGAUGAUGAUGUGCUUUCUGAGGCACCAGAUGGGUUUGAUGCCUAUCUGAACUUUGUCAUUAUCUUCGAAGUCUCCAGGUGUAACCUCUGACCCUUCUCCUAGGCAUUUCUUUGCCGACAAACCUGAAAUCCCAGUUGUCAGCUACCUGACCCAGGCUGCUUUCAGUUCCGAUUCCUUAGCUUUCUGGUGAGACAGUAAAACCUAGGUCCAUUUUGCUGUUUUCUGUUGAGAAGGGCACGGUGCCAUUUUCCAACAAUUUGGCAUUCUCAGCAAGUUCUGUUUUGUAAUCACCCAGCCUAACAUUCUGGAAAACAGAUUUGGUCAUUUCUUGCUUAAAAAGCAACUCUACAAAGUGCUUGCCACAAUUACCUCAAGCAGCUCUGUGGCGGUUUCACAGUUAUGGCAAUCAUUAGGAAUGUUCAUUAUUUCGUUCUUUAUCUUACUUGUGUUUAGUCAGACAUUAAAUACACAUGGCGCUCUGAAAGUGCAGCUCUUUGUGCACUGUGUGACCCCAUACCUGGACCUUUAAUCAGGCUGUGGGAGUGCGCUUGUAUCGUGCUUCCUGAGAUGAAGAAUAGGGCUCUGUAAGAGAAAGUGACUCAGGAUCAAAGAUUAAUAAUCACCCUUUCGUUGUUGCUUUUGCCAUUUGUCCAUUUCAGAAUAAAAGGCUUAGGAUUCAAGGGGAGGGAAGGCAGAAUUUCAGGCAGUGAUUUAUUCCUUACUGUAUUUUUAGAUUUGUUUAAGUAUUUUAGUCAAAAAGCUAGAGGUUGCUCGAAUAGGAACCGUGGGAUGUCUGCGCGCAGCUGGCUCCGAGGGAGCAGUCCAUUUGCAGCAGAAACGUUCUUGCUCCUAAAGGCAGGUCCAGAGCUGAACUUUUGCAAAGGUUUGAGGUGGGCUUUGGUUCAGAUUUCUCACCAGUUAUUAUUUGGUAUCGCAGCAGCAACGGGCCCCUGCUGAGAUCAGAGCUUCCUUUUGCAAAGUAGUUCAUAUAAAUUAAGAGACAGAUUCACAAUAUGAAGAAAAAGGGCAGAACAAGAGUGCAAGAAAGGAAACAUUAUUUUCCUUUGUAUAUUUGUAAGAUGACAACUGAGUCUGAAAGUUCAUGAAAUAUUUGGGAACUGAACUCAGAUGUCCCCAGGCCAGCGUUCAAUCAUAAGAUAUCUUUCCUGUGUUUUGUAUAUUUACUGCAUGGUUGGGAUGAGAGUAGAGCAAAAUAAACUCUGGAGCUACUUUGCGUGUGUUUGGCAGCUCUUUCACGAGCUUCCUUCGAUACGUGCUUCUCUUUACCCUUGGUCCCGGUUCCCAUACACUGGAAUUUCACUGCUGCAAAAUUUCAGUGCUGCAGUAACAAAGAUGUUCUGAAAAAUGACAAGUGACAGGUAAAGCAAAGGUCCCUGCCUGGCCUUUCUCCCUGCCAGAAUCUGCCAUUUUUGUCUGCAAGUAAAACAGAAACCUGAGGGGUUUUGUUAAACUUUGCUUUCUGCUGUGUUAGAGUAGUUCUUAGAGAGUAAUUUUGGCUGUUAACUUUGUGGAAUAUAGUCCUGCAUUGGAUAUUGCUAGUUUUCAUGCUUUAUUAUGUAUUUCAUACCCUUCUCCCCCCUCGCCCCUCUUCUUUCUUAGUGGCACUGAGUCAUGUGAUCAGGCCAGGCUGCCAGAUUUUGUCUGAAAAUGAAAUGCUUCCAGUUCUCACCAGGGUGGCUAGAGACCCGAGAGCAUGAACCCAGGGCCCGGAAAAGAGAAUGCCCAGAAAACAAAGAAUCCCAGGUUCUGCACUGUUCUGUGUCUACCCCUGGGUCCCGAGAGCCACCAAAACCUGGGUGAAGUGGACUUCCACCAAAUGGGUUUUGGUUUGAAGAACUGGAGGUAGAAGGAAGGGAAGUCAGUCAAAAGAGUCAGCCAGAGCAUUGGCCUUACAUACACCCAGGAGGCUGCAUUUGCUUCUGAAUGGUAACUCACAUUUUAGGUAAGUUACUUUCCGUCUCUUUUCUUGCUUUUUGUCUAGCUUGUCUUUUUAAAGGCAUAUACUCUUCCAAAUAGGAAUGAUCUCAGCACGUUUUCAUGGCACAUUGUCAGUGGCACCUUGGUUACAGUUAAGGUGUCUGGUUACUGUAGUACCACAAGCAAUAGCCUGCUCAGUCUCCCUGCUGCUAGGAAUUGCUAAUCCUGAAAAGAUUAUCUUCCUUCUCUCUCUUUUUCCAAGGUUGCUAUGUAUCUUGGAAAUGGAGUGGGGAAGGACAAGGGUUGCUUUUUAAAUCUUUUCCAUUUUGUCUUUCUUGCUCUGUAAUAUGUUCUUAUUCUCCGUGGCAAAGGAGCCAUUAUGUGGCAGUGACCGCCCUGGCUCUGCUGGAUCAUGCACUUCUCUCCGGGAGCUUCAGCAAUCCAGCCACGGCAGCCACGUAGGAGCACGCGUGUUGGCUAAUGUAUAACUAACCUCUUUCUGCUGUUGUUCUUUCUGAGGUUCAGCUCUUUUUCUGCAGGACUUUCGUGCUUUCAUUUUCUUUUUUACUUUGAAAUCUAGGACCUCUUGGAUCAUUGCAUCCAGCCUACUGCUAUCACAGGUACAAAGCAUUCAGUCUCUUUCCUAAACCUGCCAAGUUCUGACUUAAAACCAGUUACAAUUACUCCCACUGGAAUGCUGUUAUAAAACCAGCAUAUCUCACAUUUGUGGGUAUUAUUAGUUUGCGCUGGUGCAGCCAGGAUAGAAGAGGGCCAUACUGAAGACACACCAUGUGACAGAGGGAUGUUCUUCUGCUGGGUUUAUUUCCCUGCUGGGUUCCUGAAAGCCAUAAAGUCAGCCAACAAAGUGUUCUGUAAUAUUACCGAUGUAGACAUAUAGGAAAAGAUGCAGAAUUUUUUUCACAUUCUUUAGCUGACAUGCUGUGUCAUCAAAGCUUUGUAGAAUGGACCGAGCCUUAUCUGCAGGUAACAAUUGUACCAUUUUGCAACUGUAUUGUUUUUGGAGGCUUCUUCAAAGUAUAGAUCAAGUCUGAAGGCAGGAUUUACUUCAGGUCAGCUAAGGGGAUAAGGCAGGAGAGAAUUUAGGUCACUGGCAGGUGGAAAGAGAAAUAUUUGAGUGCCUCAGGUCACCUGCAAGGACUGAGAAAUGCCACACAAGGGGCCUGGGGAAAGAACAGCAGGUUUUGUCACUUGCAGGUAAAGUAGAGAUGCUUCUUAGCCCUCAGAUCUUUUCCCCAUUGCUAUGCUGCUGGCAUGGGCACGCUGACCAAAUGGGAAGGGUAACAAGUUGCAACUGUGCCCUUGGCUUGCCUCAGCUGUAGAUUGUGUUGCAGUCAUAACCAGAUCCUCCUUGGUCGUGUGCCUCUGCUCUUGGUAAAAACAAUACAUCUGUUUUUUUAGACUGUCUUAAAUAAUUUGACAUGCUCCCACAGGAGGAGGAUACCACUUCACCAAGUGAGCUGCUGUACAGAUUUAGUUACAUUGAUAUUUCUUUAUGUGAACAAAGACUUGGUAGAUACUUAAGCUUAAAAUUUUCUAGAAAACAUUGACUGGCCUUUGGUAUGCACCUGAAUUUUCUUGUUCCUUGAAGAAGCCUUUCAAAGCUCAUUGCUUCAGGGAAUGGGAAAGCAGGAAGCUGAUCAACAAGAGUUUUCUGACAUUGAUUUGCUGCCAUUUAGAUGACAGCUACUUUCACUGAGAGACUCUCCUGCAACAGCUCAAAAGCAGGUGCUAGGAGUGGUGUUCCUGCUUAGGCAAAUGUGAAAACAAGAGAACUUUCAAAUUGUAGAACAAAUUCAUGACAUGUAAAACUAGAAAAAUUCAAAGAAUUUUGAAAAUCUGCCUGAAUCCUCCUCCUUUUAGGGAGGAGCUGCAUUUGCCAUCCUGCCCCCCCCCCUUCUUGUCUGAAAGCACUUUCCUCGCUUUUCACUAUGUACCUGCCCUUUGCUCUAGAAUAUGAGGCACCCCUUGUGAGACAUGAUUACAGGUAUUUGCACUUGUUGUGCCAACAUAUAUCACAUUGAGCGCUAGGGACAGCUAAGCUUGUGUCUCAAUUUGAGGAAACUGCAUCUUUAAAGUCACCCACAAGAAUGAACCCUGGAUACAGAACCCACAGCACAUGCUGGUACCAGAAAAAGCCUUCAAUCACCAGAGGUGCUAGGCGUGCCCAAAAUAACGAGGAAUUUAACGGAGUAAUUUUUAAGGCAUGCAAAAUAGGUGUGAAGUUCCAAAAUUCCUCCCCCAUGCACUUGAUACCUCUGCCAGCCAUGACCAAUGUUUUGAAAGACGCAUGGCACUGAUUUUCUUGUGGGAGAACAGAAAUAAGUCACUGAGUCCUUUCCUAUACUGGGAGACAAUUGAGACUGUGAGCCCCUGAUGCUAUUGGCACGUGUGUGCACACCUUGUGUUACCUGGGUGAACGUCCUCGUUGACUUCAAAGGCUGAAUCUAUGUAAAGUUAAGCAUGCACUAUAGCGUUCUCCAGGACUGGACGUAAUUUUGGUUCUCCUAACUCUAGAAAGACUAAUCGUGCUGUCUGUACAGCAGAUGAGAUAAACUACACAUCGACUUGUUGAAGUCAGGAUGAAAAGAAAAAGAACUUCAGGGAAACUCGGGCUUUUAUUAUUUCCCCCCCUCCAGCACUGACUAGUGUUGAAUUGGUUAACUCCCUGUGGUUUGAUCGCUCUGUGAACUCAGAAACUGACUGAUUGCUGUUGCAAAGCAUCAAAACCAGUAGCGGAGGGGAUGCAGAUGUAUAGCAGGAGAUUGGAAAACCAUGGAAGGACCUGAGUCCAGCAUAGGAAGAGGCAAAAACAGAUGUGGAGGACUGGAAAGAAGGCACACUUGCUAGGGUUGUAGCAGAAAGCAGGAAGAAACAGGAAAGAAGUAGGAUACUGAAAACCUACUCUGAGGAGUCUUUGAAAGAAGAACUGGGAGACCACAGUGCAAAGAGGUUGCUCUGCCUGGCACAAGCUUAUUUAGGAAGAGGGCUGAAACCUCGGUGCCCAUGGCUAUGGGGUGACAGCGAGCCCGUUUGUGUUCAUAAACAUGGGACUGACUUCAAGUGUCUGCCUUAAAACAAACCAAAUGUUGAUAGUCACAGGUACAUAAAUGUUGAAGAAUUGAAGAAACAAUGAGGGUUUCUCAGUGAUACCAGGCCUACAGUGUCCUUGGCCAAAAAAGUAGGAUAAAGACCUUCAGCUGUUCAUUAUAAAAAUCUUAGUUAAAUUUCUGGAAAUGAUCCUGUAAGUAAUUCUGGCACAUAAUUGGUUUUUUUGUAUUUCUCCCUUCUACAAAUAACUUGAACGCCAUGCAGCCAUUUAACUCUUGUGUUUAGAAUGUUUAGAAUGAUGAAAUGUGUAAUGAUAAAAUUAUAACUAUUUGUUAUUUAGUUUAAUUACUGAUUACCAAAUAUGUCUUAGGAUAAGGAUUCUAGGUGUUAGGUAAGUAAAUCAUUGGGACUUUGUGAAAUGCGAAAGAGAAAAAGAGAAGCAGCGAUAGGACUGUGUUAAAUAUAGUAAUCAUAAAAGCUUGUGUGACAGAAAAUUGUAAAUUGAUGUAGUCAUUAGGAAAUGUAUUCAUACAUUUUUGCUUUUCCAUGCAUUUUUGUGCAUUUCGGGGACAAGCUUGACUUGAUUCCUGAAAUAUAAAUCUGUAGGGCAAUAGGAUAUUCAGGUGAGAGAGGUAAUUGCAUAUAUUCAGAUAUUAGCAUCUAAAAGGUAAAUCAGUAGGGUAUCUUUAAAAAAGAAGGAGAUUUAUAAGGAAAAUAAAAUUGUUUUGAAGAUAUCUUCGGGCUUACACAAAAGGUACUUUCAGCAUAAACACAUUUUUAAAUAUUGACAGUAGUUUGGAAAAGAAAAGCUUUUAACUAAAGAUAAUUACC